rnacentral:rRNA from 1 species
AUAUGGCUCAGGAUGAACGCUAGCUACAGGCUUAACACAUGCAAGUCGAGGGGAAACGACAUCGAAAGCUUGCUUUUGAUGGGCGUCGACCGGCGCACGGGUGAGUAACGCGUAUCCAACCUGCCCACCACUUGGGGAUAACCUUGCGAAAGUAAGACUAAUACCCAAUGACAUCCCACGAAGACAUCUGAAUGGGAUUAAAGAUUUAUCGGUGAUGGAUGGGGAUGCGUCUGAUUAG